UUUACUUUCUAAAAUUAUUUACUAAUUACGUGUUCUUUUUUGAUAAAGUGAGACCGAUUUGAGUGAUGUUAAAAUUUACCCAUCAUUCUGCCACCUAAAUGUUACCGAUGUUACCAUUUCCAUGAAUCUCUUUUUGGACGUGAGUGUGUGGCUGUGGUACACGUAUAUGUAACAUUUGAAAUGGGCUCACACUAUACUGUCUGUUCUGCAGCCUUUUCUCAUUUAAUGUUUGAUGAACAUCUUGUCUAGAGUGUGUGUGUUUACAUACACAUGCACACAGAUGUGUACAUGUAGGCACACGUACACACACGUGUUUACACAGAUUAUUGGCUGCAGGGUGUUGUGUCCUUGGACAUGUCCUGACUUAUUUACUCAGUGUCCUCUUCCUGGCUAUGUGCACUGAUCCUACUGGGGCUCUUAAAGCUGACGGUCCAUGGAUGUCAUAACAGGAAAAGUAUGCUGGCUUGGUCUACCUCCCGGUCAUUCCUAUAAGUGGACUUGCUCCUUCACAGGCCGUGCACACUCUCGGGCAUCUUGCAUUGAGGCUGACUUGCGCUGCAGAAGCGCUGUGCCCACCGUGAUCCCAGCGGCAGGGUGGGGAGGGCUCCUGUCUGCCACCCGCAGCACCGGAACCCAGAGCGGUUCUCUGGCUUUGAUGGCCUAUGCGAACAGCAUGGGGAUGGGUCCCAUGGAGGCCCCUGCCUCUGACAAUCGCCUCAACACUCUUCUGAGCUUCAGUCAGGCCCCCGGGAUUCAGGGAUCUCAAGGGUUUAGGAUAUUGUCUCAAUUUACAGAGAAAAAGAGAGAACAAGUGACAAGUGACAAAAUCCAUUUGCCCGAAAUCACACAGUGACUUAGUGCAAAGUUCAGAUGAAUAAUACUUUUUUAAAAUACUAGAAGAGCAGCAAGAGCAAAGAGCACUGAUUUGGGAGCCAGACAGUCUGGGUUCUUGUCUGGGUUCUCUUAAGCACCACUAAAUGACCUCGAACAGUUACCCCACCUCUCUGGGCUCAGUCUUCCCCUCCUGGAAAUGGGGGUAACAAAAAUGUUGCUUUGGGGUCCUCACGAGGCUGAGAUCGCAUCCAAGAACACUCACGGAGAGCGCAUUCAGGUUGGCAGUAUUGCUAGCUUCUCCACUGCUUUCUCUCUUUAGACCCACGCCCCCAAAGGCUUAGGGCUGGCAGGAGGUCAGUACGGAUUAAAUUGCUGGUAGCCAGCCCUGGUGGUCUAGUGGUUAAGAUUCAGCACUCACCCUGCCUCGGCCCGGGUUUAUUUCUAGUCAGGGAACCACACCACCCAUCUGUUGGUUGUCAUACUGUGGCAGGUGCCUGUUGCUGUGAUGCUGAAAGCUAUGGCGCUGGUAUUUCAAAUGCCAGCAGGCUCACCCACAGUGGCCAGGUUUCAGCAGAGCUUCCAGACUAAGACUAGGAAGAAGGACCUGGCCACCCAAUUCUGAAAAAACUGGCCAUGAAGGCCCUGUGACUAGCAGCGGAGCAUGGUCUGGUACGGCGCUGGAAGAUGAGAGGACGGCACAGCAAGACCGGGCAGGGUUCUGCUCUGCUGUGCACAGGGUUGCUAGAGUCAGAAUCGACUCAACAGCACUAACGACAAAAAUGUUCCCAGUACUCUGUGGUAGCAUUACCAUUCAUUAAUGAAGCAUCACCUGCGAGUUGUUAGAAAUGCCACUUAUGAGUCCCCAUGCAGAGCUCCUCAUCAGAAACUGGGGCUGGCAAAGCACAGGGCUCCAAGAGGACCUGCAGGGGGUUCCGAUCAGCUUAGUCUGAGAACCACUGCAUGAAGGCUCUGAGGAGCUCUCAGCAGUGGAAGGGCCUUUGGAGUUGGAGAGUUGUGGGUCACUCAGCUUUCCUCCCUUCCCACUCUGCCCUCAGGACAUCACAUGGAAUAUCUGGUCUCGGGGGCCUUGGGGACUAAGCUGGGGUGAUGAUCUCCACUCCUUUAGGUUAUUGUGACAAUGUGGGUAAACAUUUGGCCCAUAGCAAUUGCACCAGGGAUGGCUCCUUGUUUGGGAAUCCACAGGCACCCAGCGGCCCUGACUUCCUAAAGGCAGAACACACACACUCAGGUGCCCAGCGAGGAACCCACCAGGUGGAAACCCUCAGGGCUCAGCCUGCCCUGUGCGCGGCCCUGCGCCUGCGCCGCCACGGGGUCAUUAGGGGGAGGCAGGCACAGGUGGUCUCUUGCACACCUGCCCCAGCCUGUGGUGGGGACGCUGUGGGUACUUCAGGGCGCUGGGGCUCACCUGACACAGCGGCUCUCCAAGGGGUUCCGUCCUCACCAGAAGCAGGAUGAAGCUCAGAGCACAGGUAGGCGAGGGCAGGAUGGGGCGUCAGGGCUGCCUGUGGGCGCAGGUAGGUGGGGAAGGUUGAGGUGGAGCCGUGGGGCAGGAGGUGUGUGGUGUGCGCCUGGGGCAGCCUGGGGCCUACGUAGGCCAGGACAGGACAGGACAGGGUUUGGGGGCACGGCGGGUGCCCGAAGCCUGAGGCACAGGUAGGCGGGGAGGGGCACUCCAUGCAGCCCCAGGUGGGGAUCCCGGGGCGGGAGGCCCUGUUGGCCCCGUGGGCCCCAUUGGCCCCAUUGGCCCAGUGCUGGAGCAAGGCAGCUGCCCUGGUCUGGCCCACGCUCUGGGUUGGGCAGGCCUCACACUGGCACUCAGGAGCCUCCUGGUCCUAGCCUGAGUUGCUAAACGAUGCCCCUUGUCAGGCAUCCCUUGCCCACCCUUCCGGUCUGUGCCCCGAGCCCCGCGCCCCCACCCCCCUGUGCCCGGAGCCCAGGACCGCAGCGCCAACCCAGCAACAUCAGAGGGGAUCCUACGCCUGCCCAGGCACCUGGCACCCCUGCGCCUCCUCCCCCAUCCUCUCCCCGCAUUGUCUGGGAGCCCACAGCGCUGGGUCUCAGGCCCUUCCGGGGAAAGCCUGGAGGCCAAGGGGACCAGUUGCCCCAGGGCGUCGUGGCUGAGGAGGCCAUGGAUGCAGCGCUCCAGCUGCGAAAUGAAAAUCAGGGAGCGGAAUUAGGUAACGGUCCCCAGGUGAAGUUCAAAACCUGCCUUUCACAACGCUGCUUUGUGGCUCCCCAGGCACCCACCGGAUCGUGACCCCUCAACCACUUCCCCCGAGUCAGGGCAUCCUGGGCGGCCUUCUGCUCUCCCUGUGCCUGGGUCUCUUCAUCAGACAAAUAGAGAUUCUCUCUCCUCCUUUUCAUUUGUAAAUAUGUAAUACCUUCCCAUGGUUUCAAAGUAAAACAUAUGCAGGUUUACGGCCCUGCCCACCUCUGCCCAGGCCCGCCAUAAGUAAACAGCAUUUUUAGCUUCUUCUAGAACUUCUUUAGAUUCCUAUUUUUCCUCAGUUUGCACAGAAGACUCUACUCAAAACAUAGCCAUCUUUCCUCAUGCGUGUAUAUUACAAAAGCAUUUGUGUAUAAAGAACGGUUGAGGGCCGUUUCCCGUUUAUCUGUUAAGUUGUUGCUUUUCCUAGAUUUUAGGAAGGUUAGCCCCUUGUUCGUCUUUUAUAGAAAUUGCCGUUUGUCUUUUUUCACUUAGUAUGUCACUUUUUUUUUCUUUUUUUGGGGGGCUUUGCAGAAGUUUGAAAACAUUCUAUUUGGUUGAACUUGUUCUUUUCUUUCAUGGCUUCUGUGUUGUGAGUUAUCGGAAAGCCUUACUUCUGACAAACUUACAGAAGAACCCACCCAUAUUUCCUUCCAACACUUUUGUAGCUUUGUUUCUUACAUUUAAAUCUUAUAUGCAUUUGGGAUUUAUCUUGGUGAAUGAUAUAAGAGCCCAACUUUGUUUCAGAUUUUUCAAAAUUAUUGUUUUUUUCUAGUAAUCUAGGAAUUUUUAAAGAGUAGAAUAUUCAGUCCCUUGUCAUUUAUUUUAGUAUAACACAUAAGGUAGGGAUGUGGCUUUACUGUUGUUUUGGGGUUUGUUUCCCAAGUGACCAGUCAGAACAACAGGUAAUGAGAGAGAGAGACUCUCUCCCUCCAUCACCUGAAGGCCCGUCUUUCCCCACAGGUGUGUCUAGCUCAUCUGUUCUGAGAAUCUAUUUGUAAAACGAACUGUUUUAUCUGGAAGAUUUCAAUAUGUUACAAUGUUAUUGAAAAACAUAUCAGAUGAGCAACAUUUAAUAUUGGUUCUUAGUUCACUUUCAUAAAUAGGCUAGUUAAGUACCUCCUGCUAAUAAGAAAAUAGACUUCUGUUACCUUGUCAUUUCUUUCUUCUCCGAGUCCCACAUUUCUCCUCCCCCGUUUCUUUACUUCACUCUGAGCUCCUGGUCCCUGUUUGAAGUAGAAUGACUCCCACUCUCCUCUGACAAAUGCUAAUUAUCUGUCAUGGAAUUUGGGUCAUUUCUCUUCUUUUUCUCCAUGAUCUAGCAUGAGCUAAAAAAAAAAGUGAAUUAUCCCCACUUUCUACUUUAUUUCUAUUUCUCCUUAUUUCUCCUUGGAUUUUGCUCCCUGAAUGUCGAUGCUAUACCGUCUGGUGCAAAGGUAAUGAUAACAGAAAAGCAUUUUGGCUUCUAUUUUUUAUUCCUCUGUGCUUUUGUUUUUAGUCUUGUUUAAUGUAUCUUGCCAUGAAUUUAGCCUUUUCCGAUAUAAAGAUGGAAGUCCCUGCAUUUUUUCACUUUUAUGUCCUUGGGUUUCUUUGCCGUCAUCCUACUCUGGGACUUUCUGAAGCACUUAGCUUUGGGGCAGCCUACUGGAUACAGUGUAGAGUUGGAUUUGCUCCCCGAUCUGCUGUGCGAGUCUUUUAAUAGGUGACUUUAUUUGCCUUUAUUGACAUGGCAAAUGUUUGACCUUUAGUUCCCCAAAGAAGAUCUACAGAUGAUAACUAAGAUGAUCAACAUCGUCAUUACAGAAACUCAAAACCACUAUGCAAAUAAGAUACCACUACUCGCCUAUUAGAAAACAAAAAUUUUUUAAAAAAUGAAAAACUAACAAACCAAACGCUGGUGAGGGUGUGAGGUCUCUCAUACCUGGCCAGUGGGAUUGAAGAAUUGGGCGGCCACUUUGGAGAACAGUUUGGCAGUUUCUGAUGUCAACUCAUUCUCUGGACAAGGAAGCGUAUUCCAUGUUUGUUUGUGGAUACGCACCAGAAGAAUAUCUUUGAGGAAAUUGCUAAUGGCCAUUACCUAUGGGGACUAGGACAGGAAGAUUCUCCUCUUCAUGCACAAAUAUGUAUCACGAAUUCAAGGAAAGCAAAGUGGCAGUGUCAUCACCCCAAGCAGAAGCCAGCCCUGGGCAGAUGGCACCUGGAGGAGGCAACCCUCAGCCUUGGCCUGGGCCUGGAGGGGACUGUUAUCAAGGCUGCUGAUGUGCUUUUCCUGAGUUUCCUCACGUGAGCCCUGGUUCUUGCUGACUGCUGGCCCUGUCUGGGCAGUCGGAUGCAGUUGCUACUCCUACAGGAUGAGCAGGCUUCUGGAAAGGGCAGAAUCAUUCCCUUUGGAACAUUUUAUUCUCUUGCUCUUUAAGUAAAGUUCUAGUUCCUCCUACACCCUGUGUGACAACGGCUUUCUUAACAGUUUUAGGUGUCCUUGCUUCAAAAGGACAUUGUAACAGGAAACUGUUACUCCUACUGCCGAAAACUGAAUGCACGAGAUUGUCUCGUUAGAGUCGGAUUCAAUAUUCCCUGGCUACUGUGAAGGAUGCUGUGGGGCACAUGGUGUGCAGGUCUCUGCACUGUGAAGGAUGCUGCAGGGCACACAGGGCUGCAGAUCUCUCUACUAUGAAGGAUGCUGCAGGGCACAUGGGGUGCAGGUCUCUCUACUAUGAAGGAUGCUGCGGGGCACACGGGGCUGCAGGUCUCUGCACUGUGAAGGAUGCUGCAGGGCAUAUGGGGUGCAGGUCUCUGCACUGUGAAGGAUGCUGCGGGGCACAUGGGGCUGCAGGUCUCUGCACUGUGAAGGAUGCUGCAGGGCACAUGGGGCUGCAGGUUUCUGCACUGUGAAGGAUGCUGCAGGGCACAUGGGGUGCAGGUGUCUCUCUGAGAUUCUAUUAUCAGCUUCUAUGGAUGUAGACCCAGAAGUGGAAGAGCUGUAUCACAUGGCAGUUCUAUUUUUAAUUUUUUGAGGAACAUCCAUACUGUUUUCCAUAGUGGCUGCACCAAUUUCCACUCCCACCAGCAGUGCACAGAGGUUUCCUUUUCUCCACGUCCUCAUUACCAUUAGUAUAGUAUAACCACUUGUUAUCUCUUGUCUUUUCGAUGACAGCCAUUCUAACAGGUGUGAGGUGAUAUCUCAUGUGGCCUUGAUUUGCAUUUCCCUGAUGAUGCGUGACGUUAAGCACCUUUUCAUGUACC